rnacentral:rRNA from 1 species
UACGGAGGGUGCGAGCGUUAAUCGGAAUUACUGGGCGUAAAGGGUGUGUAGGUUGUUUUUUAAGUUGUCUGUGAAAUUCCUGGGCUCAACCUAGGGUUGUCAGAUAAGACUGGGAGACUUGAGUAUAGGAGAGGGUAGCGGAAUUUCCGGUGUAGCGGUGAAAUGCGUAGAGAUCGGAAGGAACACCAGUGGCGAAGGCGGCUACCUGGCCUAAUACUGACACUGAGGCACGAAAGCGUGGGGAGCAAACAGG